GAACGCUGGCGGCGUGCUUAACACAUGCAAGUCGAACGGACUUAAGGGGCUUGCUUCUUAAGUUAGUGGCGCACGGGUGAGUAAUAUAUAGCUAACUUGCCCUUUAGUGGGGGACAACAGUUGGAAACGACUGCUAAUACCCCAUACUCCUUCUUACUAUAAGGUAAGUUGGGAAGGAUUUAUCGCUAAAGGAUGGGGCUUUAUUGUAUCAGUUAGUUGGUGGGGUAAUGGCCUACCAAGACUAUGACGCAUACCUGGUCUGAGAGGAUGAUCAGGCACACUGGAACUGAGACACGGUCCAGACUCCUACGGGAGGCAGCAGUGGGGAAUAUUGCACAAUGGAGGAAACUCUGAUGCAGCAACGCCGCGUGGAGGAUGACGCAUUUCGGUGUGUAAACUCCUUUUAUAGGGGAAGAUAAUGACGGUACCCUAUGAAUAAGCACCGGCUAACUACGUG
rnacentral:rRNA from 1 species